CGAUGAGGUGUGGGUAGGGGAGAAAUUCCAAUCGAACCCGGAGAUAGCUGGUUCUCCUCGAAAUAGCUUUAGGGCUAGCCUCGUAUUAGUCUAGCGGAGGUAGAGCACUGAAUAUCCUAGGGGGCGUCAAAGCUUACCGAAGAUUAUCAAACUCCGAAUGCCGCAGAGAUGAUGUACGGGAGUCAGACUGCACGAGAUAAGUUGGGUAGUCAAAAGGGAAAGAGCCCAGACCAUCAGCUAAGGUCCCAAAGUGUGUGUUAAGUGGUAAAGGAUGUGGGAUUUCGAAGACAACUAGGAUGUUGGCUCAGAAGCAGCCAUACAUUCAAAGAGUGCGUAAUAGCUCACUAGUCGAGAGGUCCUGCGCCGAAAAUGUCCGGGGCUAAAACACACCACCGAAGCUAUGGAAUGUGAACACAUUGGUAGAGGAGCAUUCUUAACGUGACGAAGCUGUACCGGAAGGAGCAGUGGAGUGUUAAGAAGAGAGAAUGCCGGAAUGAGUAGCGAGAUUUAAGUGAGAAUCUUAAAGGCCGAAUAUCUAAGGUUUCCAGGGUAAAGCUGAUCUUCCCUGGGUAAGUCGGGGCCUAAGGCGAGGACGAAAGUCGUAGUCGAUGGAUAACAGGUAGAAAUUCCUGUACCACAUACAAACAGAACUGUGGGGACGCAGAGAGAAAGCCAGAGCCGGAAAUGGAAAAGCCGGUGCAAGCGAGGUAUCCGUAAGGGAGGCAAAACCCCCUUGCAAGGAGAAGACGUAAUGCGGAGUGAACUAUAAGUAACGAAGCUGGUGAGCUAGCUGCCAAGAAAAGCCGCUAUUGUUUUGUAUGUGCCCGUACCGUAAACCGACACAGGUGGAUGAGGAGAGAAUCCUAAGGCCGGCGGGAGAAGUGUUGUUAAGGAACUCGGCAAAAUGACUCCGUAACUUCGGGAGAAGGAGUGCCAUAGAGAUAUGGCCGCAGAGAAAUGGCCCAAGCAACUGUUUAGCAAAAACACAGGUCUAUGCAAAACCGAAAGGUGAGGUAUAUGGGCUGACGCCUGCCCGGUGCUGGAAGGUUAAGAGGAGAGCUUAGCGCAAGCGAAGGUUUGAAUUUAAGCCCCCAGUAAACGGCGGCCGUAACUAUAACGGUCCUAAGGUAGCGAAAUUCCUUGUCGGGUAAGUUCCGACCCGCACGAAAGGCGUAAUGAUUUGGGCACUGUCUCGACAACACACCCGGUGAAAUUGAAAUACCAGUGAAGAUGCUGGUUACCUGCGCCAGGACGGAAAGACCCCAUGGAGCUUUACUCCAGUUUGAUACUGGGAUUCGGUACUGUCUGUACAGGAUAGGUGGGAAGCUAGGAAAUGAUGACGCCAGUUGUCAUGGAGCUGACCUUGGGAUACCACCCUUACAGUACUGGGUUUCUAACCUGCAGCCGUGACCCGGCUGGGGGACAAUGUCUGACGGGGAGUUUGACUGGGGCGGUCGCCUCCGAAAGGGUAUCGGAGGCGCUCAAAGGUUCCCUCAGAAUGGUCGGAAACCAUUCGAAGAGUGCAAAGGCAGAAGGGAGCUUGACUGCGACACCGACGGGUGGAGCAGGUACGAAAGUAGGACUUAGUGAUCCGGUGGUAUAACGUGGGAUUGCCAUCGCUCAACGGAUAAAAGCUACCCUGGGGAUAACAGGCUUAUCACUCCCAAGAGUUCACAUCGACGGAGUGGUUUGGCACCUCGAUGUCGGCUCAUCGCAUCCUGGAGCUGUAGCAGGUUCCAAGGGUUGGGCUGUUCGCCCAUUAAAGCGGUACGCGAGCUGGGUUCAGAACGUCGUGAGACAGUUCGGUCCCUAUCCGGCGUGGGCGUAGGAUAUUUGAGAGGAGCUGUCCUUAGUACGAGAGGACCGGGAUGGACGGACCGCUGGUGUAUCUGUUGUUGACCAACAGCAUGGCAGAGUAGCCAAGUCCGGCAGGGAUAAACGCUGAAGGCAUCUAAGCGUGAAGCCCCCCUCAAGAUUAGAUAUCCCAUUCUUUAAAGAAAUAAGACCCCUUGAAGACUACGAGGUUGAUAGGUCUGAGGUGUAAGUGCGGUAACGCAUUCAGCUGACAGAUACUAAUAGGUCGAAGACUUAUCCU
rnacentral:rRNA from 1 species